GCCGCUGUGGGGCAACGGUAGCUCAUCGGCCUGUGGAGCCGAGGAACCGGGUUCAAUUCCCGGCAGCGGCC
rnacentral:tRNA from 1 species